rfam:Cyanophage S-SSM4 genomic sequence.
UAACAAUUCAUACUUCUCCCCUUAAACCGAGACCUCUAGGGAGAUAAAAUUACGUCUCUAAUACCUGCCUCUGAGGGUGAGACAGGAAUAUUUAAUUCA